GAUGAACGCUGGCGGCGUGCCUAAUACAUGCAAGUCGAGCGAACGGACGAGAAGCUUGCUUCUCUGAUGUUAGCGGCGGACGGGUGAGUAACACGUGGAUAACCUACCUAUAAGACUGGGAUAACUUCGGGAAACCGGAGCUAAUACCGGAUAAUAUUUUGAACCGCAUGGUUCAAAAGUGAAAGACGGUCUUGCUGUCACUUAUAGAUGGAUCCGCGCUGCAUUAGCUAGUUGGUAAGGUAACGGCUUACCAAGGCAACGAUGCAUAGCCGACCUGAGAGGGUGAUCGGCCACACUGGAACUGAGACACGGUCCAGACUCCUACGGGAGGCAGCAGUAGGGAAUCUUCCGCAAAGGGCGAAAGCCUGACGGAGCAACGCCGCGUGAGUGAUGAAGGUCUUCGGAUCGUAAAACUCUGUUAUUAGGGAAGAACAUAUGUGUAAGUAACUGCGCACAUCUUGGCGGUACCUAAUCAGAAAGCCACGGCUAACUACGUG
rnacentral:rRNA from 1 species